ensembl:lncRNA
UGUUUUGUCGUAUGAGGAAGUAAACUACAUUAAGAGAGAAAAACACAGUCACUGCUGUGGACUGACUGUUGAGACAGAGGUGGAUUUGAGAAAAUUAACUGAGAUGAUUCAUAACUGACUCUGUGAUCAACAUCUGGAUCUGCUUUUAGAUGAAACCAUGGCCUCCAGAAUGAAUCUCUCUGAAGAACAUGACACACAGAUAAAGACAGUCAAGAGUCUGUGUCAGAAUGAAUCUCCUGAACCCAGCUGUGUGUCCAUGAAGAGUGACCGGUCAAUGAUUCCUCCAAUAUCAUUCAGCUCGGGAGACACAUCUGCUGAUCUGAGGUUUACAGUAUGAGAAAUAUAUAUG